rnacentral:rRNA from 1 species
GACGUAGGGCGCGAGCGUUGUCCGGAAUUACUGGGCGUAAAGCGUGCGCAGGCGGUUCGUUAAGACAGGUGUGAAAUCCCCGGGCUCAACCUGGGAAUUGCGCUUGUAACUGGCAGGCUAGAGUGUGUCAGAGGGAGGUAGAAUUCCACGUGUAGCAGUGAAAUGCGUAGAGACGUGGAGGAAUACCGAUGGCGAAGGCAGCCUCCUGGGAUAACACUGACGCUCAUGCACGAAAGCGUGGGGAGCAAACAGG